GAUGAACGCUGGCGGCGUGCCUAAUACAUGCAAGUCGAGCGAACGGACCUGAAGCUUUUUCUUCUGAUGUUAGCGGCGGACGGGGGGGUGAGGAGUGGAUAGUCACCCUUUGAGACCGGGAUCACUACGGGGGGCUACAGCUUGUAACGGGGUAUAAGUCCCACCGCAGAAAGCAGAUGAGAUAGUCAGCUUUUCUGAGUCGGAGAGAUGGUUCCGUGUUGCAUUAGCUAGUUGGUAAGGUAAAGGCUUACCAAGGCAACGAUGCAUAGCCGACCUGAGAGAGUGAUCGGCCACACUGGAACUGAGACACGGUCCAGACUCCUACGGGAGGCAGCAGUAGGGAAUCUUCCACAAAGGGCGAAAGCCUGACGGAGCAACGCCGCGUGAGUGAUGAAGGUCUUCGGAUCGUAAAGCUCUGUUGUUGGGGAAGAACAUAAGUGUAAGUAACUGUCCACGUCUUGACGGUACCUAAUCAGAAAGCCACGGCUAACUACGUG
rnacentral:rRNA from 1 species